rnacentral:rRNA from 1 species
UACGUAGGGGGCAAGCGUUGUCCGGAAUCAUUGGGCGUAAAGAGCGUGUAGGCGGUUCGGGAAGUCGGCUGUGAAAGUCCAGGGCUCAACCCUGGGAUGCCGGUCGAUACUGCCGGACUAGAGUUCGGAAGAGGCGAGUGGAAUUCCCGGUGUAGCGGUGAAAUGCGCAGGUAUCGGGAGGAACACCUAUGGCGAAGGCAGCUCGCUGGGACGUUACUGACGCUGAGACGCGAAAGCGUGGGGAGCAAACAGG